CUGAACAGUCGUGUCUUCAAUUGUUUCAUUUUGUACAUUACAAUAUACAUACCAAAUUUACUAUAGAGGAUGUAGGACGACGUUCGAGCUCAACCCUUCCAGAAACGAUCCAACCUAACUCGGUGUUCUGUAGCAUUACUUUCUCGGGUACCAGUUUAAGAAUACCUUCUAGCAUCAGCUCAUCAUAGCUCUCUCUGCCGAUCAAUAAAUCGAUGGACGAUGGUAAAUUCCAAGUAAUGUAACGCAUUACAUGAAAUUUCCAAUUUGCUUUGAAGCUAGUGCAAUGAGAUUUUAUGGUAAGCUGUGUCGAGUGCGAUGAUACAUGCUUGCUUUGUCCAACUCCACCAAUUGGAUGGUUCUCUCUCUUUUUAAUGACCUGCAAUCGCUGACACAAACGCUCAGUUACCAGAUUGAUAUGCGAUCCUUCAUCUAAUAGAGCGCGUGCCCAAUGCAACGAUCCGUCUGGUAACUCUAUUUUCACCAAAGCUGUGGGUGGAACCGGUUGCGUCACUAUCUCAUUAGGGGCCACUUCAGCCGAACUACUGGUUUGUACUGGUUUGUGCAACAUAAGGCCCGAUUAUUAAACACAAACGGAAGUGACACAAGACAACCGUGUCAAGACAAACGGAAAAUAGCUGUGUGUGCCUUAAAGCCUUUGUCGAUGUGUCAAAAUGUUCAAAAUCAAAAUAAAAAAAACGUAAACAAGUUUAAUUAAGAUACAUACGUUUCGCAAGCUAAUAACAAUCCUUGUUUUAUACAUCGAAAUGCAAAAACAUCCUGUACAUCUGGCAAAACAGCGCCGAUUGCUUCGAAGUGUUUUCGAUCCGUUACAGCUUUCUAACCAAGCAUUUAAGAAAAAAUUUCGUGUGUCGAAGAAAAUUUUCCUUGACAUUCUUGUGGAGAUCGAUCCCAAGUUCCCACCGGUUAAGGGAAAGGGGCUUAAGCCAAAUGAAAUUGUGGCUGCUGCUCUGCGAUUACGAUGAGCAUUAUAACCGGAAGGUUAGGUUAUAUUAUAUCACCGGUUUAGGGCUAUUACAGCCUAAACGCAAUGAUUAUUUGCGACCAUCUUAUGAAAAUUCGGUAUGUGAAUGCCAAAUUCGGAGGAGCCAAUCACGAUUCACAUAUUUGGAAUGUAUGGAAUGGACAACUUUUUCGAAACAAAUUUAAAACAUCGACGCGGAGAAACUGCAUUGAAGCUACUAGGUGAUGCUGGAUAUCCGUCAAAACCAUGGUUAAUAACACCAAAACGUAAUCCUGCUCCAAACACACCAGAAGCUGCCUUUAACCAUAAAAACCAUUCUUUAGGUAGAGAAAUAGUGGAGCGCGCGAUCGGGUUGCUCAAAAGUAGAUUUAGGUGUUUGUUAGGUGCUCGACAGUUGCACUACACCCCGUUAAAAGCAACUCAAAUAACGAACGUAUGUUGCAUCUCACACAACAUGUGUAUUGCGUAUGGAUUGGAAGAGCUAAGCUCAAAUGAAUAAAAGGCAACGCAACUAAA